GGGGAAUGCCAGAUUUGCAAAGCUCGUCUAUAUGUCCAUUUCCCCUCCUCUCUGUGCAGCUCUGCCUUUCCCAGAUAAGCAAAGGGAAUACCUUGAAACCACAGCUACAUAAAUGCAUCUGUUGAGAAAGGAGGUAGGUAGGAGGUAUUUUUAAAUUGAGUGCUUACCCCAACGUAAUUUCCUGCUUGUCAAAUGCCUGCAAUUGAUUGGUAAACAAAGAAUCUAUUUAGUGGCAGUCACUUCAAUAUACAUAGAAAGCAGGGGGAGUGGUGGAUGCAACAGAACAUGUUUGAUAGUUCAAGGUGUUGUGUUACAUUUUGCAUUAUUUUCAUAUUUUUUUUUCUUUUUCUUUAUAGAAGUGACAGAAACAAACGGCUUUUCAAUGUAAUAAUUUGUUUAUCAGAAAGAAACGGUCAGAGAAAUUUAGCGCAAUAUAAAAAUGUAUAAUAAAAGGAGAGAGGGGGAGCAAUAUCUGUCAGAAUUAUUAAGAUUUAAUAAAUGACAUAUAAUUUAAUGCAUACAAUCAAUGGAGGGAUAGUCUAUAGAAUUUUGGAGAAACUUUCUUUUUUUUCCGAUUUGUUAAUUUUCUUUUUUGCAACAUUGCAAAUUCAAUUUAAAAUUAGUUUGAAAUUGAACUUCAGAAAAAAUAGCAUUACAUUAAAAUGUAUGGAUUAUUGGAGUAGAAUGUCAUGCUAAGAUUUUAUUGCAUCAGUUACGGACUAUCCGUAAAAAUUUAUCAAGAUAAAAGAGCGGACACAUCUAUUUAUAUGUAAAAUAAACUAUAUGUAGGCAACUUGAUUUCCAGAAAACAAGAUUUAGUACGGUUUAGAGUAAAAAUAGUAAAAAAAACUAUAUUUUGACAUUUCAAUCAAAGCAACAACGGUAUUUUUAUAUGAAUUAUUGCCAUUUGGAAAUAAGCAAAUUUAGGGAUAUAUUUAAGGGAUAAAUAUUUCCCCAUAUAUAUAUAUAUAUAUAUAUAUAAUACACAAUAUAAUAACAAACCCCCUCUUGUUUUAUAUAUAUAUAUAUAUAUAUAUAUAUAUAAAAUAAUAUAUAUGUAUGUAUAUGCCUAAAUUUGCAUGUGUGUGUGUGGGUGGUGUAUACAUAUAUAUAUACACACACACACACACAUUUAAAUUCCCAUUUUAUUUUAAAUAUUAUUUAUCAUCAAAGAGAAGAAAAAUAAUCUAAUCUUUGUGAUUUAAAAAAAAAAAAAAUUUUCACAGAUAGAGCCCAGAAAUGCAAUUGUUCCUGUAUUCCUACAUGUUUUGAUUCUCUGGAAGUUUAAAAGCAACUUGAUCUCCAGGGGUUUGAAUUAUACAAAAGAGUUUAAUUAAAUAAACAGGAUCUAAAUGAAUAAGUCUGUUAAUUGGAUACGCUUGUGUGACUCCCACUGCAGCCCAAGGAUAAGAAACUAUAACAGAUAUUGGUAGUUCAUAAAAAGAAUAAAAAUACAAAAUACUAAAUACUUACAUUUUAUCAUUGUAUUACGUACUGCUUGUUAUAUGAAAUUCACUCAUUUUUUUUCAUGUUAUUAAGUGCGGUUUAUAAUUGCAAGCCACAAUUUUGGAACUUUUAAGAUUUAAUUUUUCUGUUUUAGAUUAACUCCAACAUGGGACAUACUUCCUAACUUGGAACUUGGAACUUUUAAAGGAUUUUGGUUGUCUUUAAUGAACUGAUUGGAAUCCGCAGAAUGGACAGUUCACUCAAGAAAACUUAUCUUAAAAGUUUAAUUAAAUCAAAAUGGCUGAACAUCGUGUGACUCUUUACUUAAAAUCACGUCCUUACAACGUAUCCUGUAAAAUUGAAUUUUUGAGCUCUGCACAUAUUUGUUUUUAAUUAUUUUAAGAAAUUACAAAAUUCAAGUAACAAAACUGCAUUUAACUAAAUAAAGUUUGAUCACUAAAAUAGAUUUGGGAUAUGAAUUCUGGGAAUACCAAACUUCGAUCCCACCCUUAAAGGAACAUAAGUCUUUUUUUCUGAGCUGUUUCUUUGCUCUAAAACAUUUUGCCAUUACACUUUAAACUAAUAUAUAUAGCAUUGACACAGCCUACAGUAAUAUCUUAUAAUUUUGUGUGGUUCAUAAAUAAUUUUGAGUCUUAAAAUUAUCUUUACUUAAUUGAAAUCUUUCCUCACCCCGAUGAGUGUAGUGAUAUUCUAUGAAUUGAAGAAUUAUUGUUGCUUUAAAAAUAUAUAUUUUGUAAGAUAAAUGUACAUCAAACGUAUAAAAAACGUUUUAUUAGAAUGUUUUAAUACUAUCUAGGGAUUUAACUAGCAUAUUAUUAACUGAGCAAUACUGUUAUUUAGUUAAAGUUAUUUUUAUAUUUACUAAAUUUUUCUAAUAUUAAACUAACAGAAUAGAGAAUAAUAUACUUAAACAAACCAGUAUUUAUUUUAUUUUUUUAUAUAAGUACAUAUUUGCAGAUUAGGUGUCUGUUUGAUGUGAUAGGUACCAUGAAAGUUUAUAUUUGAUUUUGUACGAAAUACAGGUAAUAGCCCGCAAUGAUGCAAUUUUACUGGGUAUUACCAGUGGAUAAACAAAUAGCACCAAAGGACACUACAGUAUGAGUUACACAGUAAUUGAAUAUGCACAUUUUAUAUAUGUCUAUCUAGAUCCCCUUAUACUAUUUUGUAUUUAUCAAUCCUUCCAAUUAUCCAUCCAUCCCUUCCUUCAUCCAUUAUCUAUUAUUCCCUGGGUAAAUGUGAUAUAUAUUAAAAUGCACAAUAGAUUAAUAACAUUUAUUCACACCCAAAUGAUAGAUAAAUUAUCACCUGAGUUGACUCUCUUAUUUUUUUUAUCUUCAAUCCAAAUCAUUUGAGCUGUUAAUAUUUAUUUAAAUGUGGUAUUGUUCUGCUACCUAAAACAACAUUGUAAAAAAGGCUUAAAUAUUAGACUGGUUUACUGAUUACAUUUAGGUCCAUUCUUCAUUUUUUGUAGAGAAUGAAAACUACAUUAUGUUACAGUUUUAUAAAGAACAAGUCAUAUCUUAGAAGGUAUAGACAUUGGUCUGCUUAGAUUUCUUGGUAUAAGCUGCAAUGGUUGUGUUUUAGACAGGAAAUCAGACAGAAAACUAUCCAUAGUUGGUCUCUUGUGAAAAAAUAUUGAAAACAUGCAUUAAGAAAUGUAUGUGUGUGUGUGUGAAUUUCAAGAAAUUCACAAGUCUCCAAAAUUAGCUUUAAUUACUAAUAGGAAAAAGUGGGAAAUGUAAAUUUUCCACUAAAAAGUAUGCACAUUCGUUUUUCAAAACAAAUGUUUUUAGAUUUUCUAAAAAAAAAAAAAUUCUAGUCAUCAAUACUUACUGAUAUUACUUACUUACUGAAAAGUUAAAAUUAAAAAUAAAUACAUAAUAAAAAAUAAUAUAUAUCUAUAUAUAUAUGCAAAGUUUCUAAGACUAUAACACACUCACACACAUAUGUAUAGACAGCCAGUUAUAGCUAAAGAUGUAUGUAUAUAAAAACAUGUAUAUAUCUUUGGAUAUAACAGGCUAUCGAUAUACAUGUGUGUGUUAUAGUUUUGGGAACUUUGCAGAUAGUAGUUUUUCAGAUAUUUUAAUUUUGAUAUGUGUAUCAGUUAUUAUGCUCCUCUUCCACAUCUUUUUAUACAUACAUGUUUUUCAAUAUGCUUCAUAAAAGCAAAGCUAUUCCUUAAAAUAAGUAGAUAAUUCCGGUUUAUAAAAAGAUAUUAAAACAAGACAUUAAUCUUCUAGCGUGUUCUGGAUAGAAAAUGGUUUGCCAGUACAGAUUAGAUAAUGUCACAUGUUCAAAGAAUACACUGAACAGUCAUAGGUUGUCCUCACACACCAGGUGUUUCUAAAGUACAUUUACCAUGAUGUUCACACAAGAUUUAGAUGCUAAAGAUAGCCACCACUAAUAUAAUAACACUUUCCUUAUGCUGCCGUUUAAUUUUCUUUUCGAAUGUGGUUACUAAAGAAUAACCCCCCCAAAUAUGAGAAAACUACACGAAGGAAUUUUGUGAUAGUCUGCAAAGAGGGAAACACAGAUAUUAGUUGCCUGAUCAUUUAAAAUAAUAGAACAUUAUCUUUCUGUAUAUCAUAGUUUGAUGUAUUGCUAAAAAAAAAAAAAAAAAACCCUUUGGGCUUUCAGGGGUUAAUUAAUUGUGUCUGCUGUAAAAUUUCUGCAGUUUUCAUUUAUCUGAUGGAGAUUAACAGGAGACAUCAGAACAUUUGUUUCCCAACUAAACUCUGAACUAUAUUUAUAUACGUGUAUAAGCAUCUUUAUUAACUUGGCGUGUAUUGAGUUCUUUCCUUUAAUUUUUAAAAGUCAAAAGAAAUCUAAAAAAAGAAAUAAUUAAAAAAAUAUAGUUCUUGAGCAAUAUCAAUGUUCUACAGCUGUACAACAAGUUACCUGUAAAGACCUGUCUCCACUUAAUGAAUCUUUGUCCACAUGACAUUCAGGAAGAGAAUUAAUAACUGUGGACAAUAGCAUCAUAUGAAAACUUACCCACGCUCAUGCCCAAGGCUUUUGCUUCUUAACGACUGCAUUCACAGCCCCCACCAAGUCAAGCAAAGCUACAUCACACAUAGAGAGGCUCUCUAUGGCAUCAGUUUAAACAAAAAUAAUAAAAGUUAAGUAUAAAAAUAUUGAGAGUUUAGCCCUUUAAGUCCAACAUUCUAAACUCUAACACUCUAAAAUAAGACCUUAAAAAAGUUAACUGUUGUGGAUUUCAGCAGUCGUUUUCUUUGUCGCGGCUUUUGAUUUAAGAAUUUUCUGUAAAUACUUUUCUUUUUACCCCCUUAUGAAGGUUCUGUGACAUUACUUUAAUGCAAGUAUUUGGCAAUUUUUCUUAUAAAGAAGAGACACUUUUUCCUUAAAUGAUGCUGAUAGAAUAUACAAUUAAUGUAAAAAAAAUAUUAUAAUCAAUCUUAGUAUGCAAGGUACUUUUUAAAAUGUAUCUUAUUCAAUAAGACUUAAAAACGAAAUAGCCAAAGUUGAGAUUUGUAAAAGAGAAACUUCAGAGAAUUCAUUUUUCUGGCUGUGUAAUUCUAGUCUUAAUUUCACAAGUUGGAUCACAACUUAUAAACCAUUUGUUUUGUGAAAAGACCCUCAGCUUUUCAACUUUAAUAUUUUUGUAAUCCCUUGACUUCCAGUUAAAUAGAAAUGAAUCAAUUAGUAAAUGUAUUAAUCAGGUAAAAAAAAUAUCACAUAAAAAUACUUUAUAUAUAUUGGAUCCAGUAAAUCGUGUAUUGUAGCUGUAUGUUUUUUAUUAUAUAAUGUUGUGAUCUUUAAGUAAAUUAAAUCUUAAUGAUCUCUAUAGGAUGUUGCAAUUACCCCUGCUAUUCCACAUAUAGGUUUAAAGAAUUUAAAACAAGAUGCUAGAAAAGUCAGUGAGUCUAAAUAUGAAAAAUAUACAUUUUAUUGUUUGCGGAAUACCAUUUUAUGGACAACUUAUAUCUAUUUAUAGCUUUGGAAUUGUUAAUAUUAGGCUUGUUUGAGCAGGAUCCUCUUCAACCGAUCGUUCUUAUAAGUUUUUUGUUAUUGUCCUAUUCAUAAUUAAUUCCCUCCCCCCCUCCCUAUAAUAUUGUAAAGCGCUAUGGAAUCUGUUGGCGCUAUAUGAAUGGCAAUAAUAAUAAUUAUUUCGAUGGCACAGAGGGUGCAAGUCACGUUCAAUUCUUCACCUUUCCACUAGAGACACUGUGCCUCCUGCGCGAGGAUUUAAGAUCACACAUAUGAUGGGGUUAAUUUAUUAAACCCAAGAUGUCAACAGAGGGUGGGAAAGAGAUGUCCCUGGACUAAAUACAGAAUAGUAUUUAGAAUUACUGGAAAGUGGAGAAAAUCUUGAUUUUUCCAUGUAAAGUAAAAUUUAUUUAUUUUGUUUUUAUAUGACCAAAUAUUUACAGUACAGUGAGUUUUUAUGCGUUGGUGAAUUCGUAGUGGGAAGUGAGGGAAAAAUAUUCAGUAACAUCCACAGAACUGGAAUCACACCUUGCGUAUCGGACACUUUUUUCACCAAUUGCACUGACACAAAAAAAAGAAUAUUAAUUCUGAAACAUGUCCCUAAACUCAUAUUUUUAUUCUGAAUACCACAAUCUAAAGUUAGAUACAUCGGAAGAAUCUGUGAUGGAAAAGCGAGGGUCAGGAUUUCACUUUAAAAUUAAAAACAAAACUAGCAUUGUAAUAGUAAUAAUUCACAAUUUGGAAAGAACCUGCAAAUCUAUCUAUCCAUCCACCCAUCCAUCCACCCAUCCAUCCAUCCAUCCAUCCAUCCACCCACCCAUCCAUCCAUCCAUCCACCCACCUACUUAUAACAAUAAUAACAAAGUAUUGAACCAGGAAAGGUACAUUCAGAUUACUCUGGUUUCCAAGUACAUCCUGUGGAUGUUAUUUUUGCCCAAUAUCUAGGGAAGGUUACUUAUCUAUCCAUUCCUCCCUUCAUCCAUACGUCUACAUAUCCAUCCACCCAUUUAUCCACCUAACUACUUAUACAUCCAUUUCUCCAUCCAUCCACCUACCUACUUAUCCAUCCAUUCACCAAUCUAUCCAUUCAUCCAUCCCUCCAUCCAUCCACCUACCUACUUAUCCAUCCAUUCACCAAUCUAUCCAUUCAUCCAUCCCUCCAUCCAUUCACCUACCUUCCCAUCUAUCCAUCCAUUCAUCCAUCCACCAAACUAUUCAUCCAUCCAUCCAUCCAUCCAUUCCUCCAUUCCUCCAUCCAUCUAUCCAUCUACCUACCAACCUACCUACCUACCUACCUAUCUAGCAGGUUUAUCCUUAGUUGUAUUUGGAAAUGAAAUGGUUGCCAUUGGUAGACAUACUGUGUUUUGACAACAGGUCACUCACAUUUGCAUCUGCAAGUAGAGAAUUAUUUUACACUUUGAAAGUUAAAUUUAUUUCAGCGGAAAACAGUACGAAUGUUCCAAUGACAACGGGCAAUCUAUGCCAAGCAGGGCAUAUAGAUGAUAAACCGGGCAUGUUAUCGAUAAUGGAAUUAUUAUAGGCUAAUGUUUUUCAACUAUUCGAUUGUAAGCUAGCUAAAGUGAAGCAAAAUUAGGUUGUAGUGAAAGUAACAGCCACAACAUUGCAAAUAAAAACCCAAAACAAAACAUAUACAUAUUUUCUUCUUUUGUAAAAGCAAAGCCUGGCAUCAAAAUGCAGUUUGAAAAUAAAUCUUGCUUAGUUCUCUUCUGAUUGGUACUGAAAGACCGUCUAGUACUAACUACACCUACAUUCCUAACGCCCCCCUUCCAGUAACAUUGAUAAAGUAAAGGUCUUACUCGCCUUUUUAUCUUACCGAGACUCCUUUGAUACUGCUCACCUUUCCGAGAUGAAGGGGUCUGGGUGCUGUUAGUGGUCCUUUAAAAAGGAAUUGAGGCAUACACAUAGAACAGCACGCACUUUAAAAAUAUAAUCUGCUACUAUAAAAGAUGUAAAUAUUUAUUUGAAAUAGCGAUCAGCGGCAUUUUAUUUUUUUAAAAAGAUUCAGACUGUGACACACCAGAGACAGUUUCGAAAACCAAAGUUUGUUUCUUUAGCGGUAACGUACAUCUAUAAUCGGAUCAAAACUGUUUGGACCAUCCUCUGCCAUAUUUGAAACUAUCUAUAGCUCUGGUUGAUAAGUUUAACAUUUAAAAAAAAGUUAUUUUAUUUAUGCUUUAUUAAAAACUGAAUGGAAGAUUUCUUGGUAAACUGAUUUCCUUUGGAUACUAUGUAUAAUCAGAAAGUUAAACAAUUGUUCCUUUUUACCUGCACAGUGGAAUGCUGGGAGCCAAUCAGAUGUUGACAUCACAUGUUUUGAUUGGCUUCACUAUUACAUGCUGAGAGCAAUAGUGAUAAAGGGUUUAAAAGAUUUAAUGCAAGUUCCAGAAGCCUGCAGUGAACAUCAUAAAAGCCAUAUUAUAAAAUGUUAUACCGCUGCAUUUAUUCAUGCUAAUUUCAGUCACGCCAAUUUCAGUUACUAAAGCCAUUUUAUGUUGGGACGCUCAGCAAGGCAAGUAAAGGCAUUUUCAGCUUCUAAAGGCAAACCCAGUUUAUUUCUCUGGAGUCCAGUCAAGUCACCAGUAUUACAGUCGUUUACAACAGUCUACAACGGUUCGUGGUGUGACGCUUCUCAGGAUGGACACAGUCUGUUGUUAAUGCAAAGAAAGCUAUUUUUAAAUAGAACCUUAGAAAACUAAUCAUUCUGUACCACAAACACUCCUAGAAAUUUUAAUGAAUGGAUGGAUGGAUGUUUGACUGGGUGGAUGGAUGGGUGGAUGGAUGAUGGAUGGGUGGGUGGGUGGUGGAUGGAUGGGUGGUGGGUGGGAUGGAUGGUGGUGGGUGGGUGGGUGGAUGGAUGGAUGGGUGGGUGGGUGGGUGGAUGGGUGGGUGGGUGGGUGGAUGGGGGGAUGGAUGGAUGGAUGGGUGGAUGGAUGUUUGGGUGGAUGGGUGGUUGGGUGGGUGGGUGCAUGGAUGUAUAGGUGAAUGGAUGGAAUGAUGUUUGAGUGGAUGGAUGGAUGGGUGGAUGGAUGUAUGGAUGGAUGGGUGGAUGGGUGGUUGGGUGGGUGGAUGGAUGUAUAGGUGAAUGGAUGGAUGGAUGUUUGGGUGGUUGGGUGGGUGGAUGGAUGUUUGGGUGGAUGGAUGGGUGGUUGGGUGGAUGGAUGUUUGGGUGAAUGGAUGGAUGUUUGGGUGGGUGGAUGGAUGUAUGUUUCGGUGGAUGGAUGUUUGGGUGGAUGUUUGGGUGGAUGUUUGGGUGGAUGGAUGGGUGGUUGGGUGGAUGGAUGUUUGGGUGAAUGGAUGGAUGUUUGGGUGAAUGGAUGGAUGUUUGGGUGGGUGGAUGGAUGGAUGUUUCGGUGGAUGGAUGUUUGGGUGGAUGUUUGGGUGGGUGGAUGGGUGGUUGGGUGGAUGGAUGUUUCGCUGGAUGGAUGUUUGGGUGGAUGGAUGGGUGGUUGGGUGGAUGGAUGGCAAGUGAAGUUGCUAUACUGACAUUAUAACAGGAGCUAUAACAGGCAUACAUAAUUUAUAGGGUUCUACAAUAAAUAAAAAUAUAUUAGAGGUUGCUCUCUAUACGUUCUAAAUAUAGAAUCCACAUAAAUUGAAUAAAGAACUGAAUUCAAAACACAAAAGCAGCACGAAAAGUGGAAUGUACUCAGUGCUUUGCAAUAUAAUUUUACAUGCUAGGAGCCGUUCAUUAUUCGCAAAGCUCUAAAACCAUAAAUUAUUAUUAUUGUCACUGAUAUUGCGCCAACAAAUUCUGCAGCGAUUUAUAAUUAUAAAGUAGUGAUCUAUAAGAGCAAGUAAUUGACAAAAAAUGUAAAAAAAAGGUGAAAAGGUCCUGUUUGUACAAGCUUGCAAUCUAGGAGAUAAACGUGUAUUUCUGAUCUACGACAUCAAAUUAGUGUCACAUUUAUCUACAAUAUGUAUAGAAUAAGAGUGUAACCCAAUGUGAAACGCGAACAUGAAAUAUAUUCAUACACACACAAACACAAGUACACGUUUAAUAAAUAGCAAAGUACAUUAAAAUAAAAAAAAACUAAAAUGUUGUUGUUUUAAAUAUUGUAUAUGACAUUGUGCAACUUAGUAUUUUAAUGUAAUUAAAAAUAGAUUGUUUGAUUUAAUCUAUUUUAAAAAAUUUGAAAAAAAAAUUAAACCUAAAGGAAUGGCAAAUAAAUCUUGAUACAUACUAAAAUAAAAACUAUGACUUAGAUUUACUUGUAUCUGGCUGAAAAGUGAUUUGUGAAGUCGAUUAUAAAAUUAGUUAAUAAAAUAAUAUUUUUUAGUCAUAAUAAAUACAUAUGCAGACAUACAUUAAAAAAAUAAGUAUUUUCAGAUCUGAUUUGCCUUUAUUUUAUUUAAAAUUGUAAAAAUCAGAGGAACAGAUUGUAAUUUAUAAAUAUAAAAUAUAUAGAUGUUCACUAGGCAACAGGUGACAAAGCUCAGCAAUUCAAAUAUAUACAAUUUAGUUAUAAAAACACUAAUAUGAAAGAUAUAUUUUUUUAAGCUUAGAAUUAACAAUUUAUUCCAUUCACACACAAGUGCUGUGUACUAAUCCUUUUGAUAAGCUGCAGUAAGUUCUCUGUAGAAGCAGUAAGUGUUUUGGCUCUCGUUGCUCUUAAAACCUUAAAAAUUUACUUCACUAAGUCGUUGAUGGUGUUUAGAUAAAAGGGUGAUUUAUUUUAUUUACAUACAAAAGAGCCCAAGACUAUAUAUUAUUUAUUGUUAUUUAGUAUAUUUGAAUUAUUUAAUAAAUGCAUAUUUAUUUUUAAGAACACUAAGAAAAAUGAGGAUUACAAGACCAGGACUACUGUGGGUUUAAACAGAGACUAACAACCGCUACAUUUUCUGGAGAAAAAAAAAGGGAAGCAGGGAG